UUUUCACAGACCCUAACCUGCUCAUCCUCAGAUCAGAUCUGAAAAAAAACCAGAGCAGCGUCUUUGUAUACGCCUCUGGUAAUCCCUUUCUUUUCAUUUCAAUCUCACGCGUUUUUCUUGUGAUUUCAUUUCAAAAUGAGAGAGUGCAUUUCGAUCCAUAUUGGUCAGGCCGGUAUCCAAGUCGGCAAUGCCUGUUGGGAGCUUUACUGCCUCGAACAUGGAAUUCAGCCUGAUGGGCAAAUGCCGGGAGACAAAACCGUAGGAGGCGGAGAUGAAGCCUUCAACACCUUCUUCAGUGAAACUGGUGCUG